AAAAUUGCUUAAUGGUUUAUUUAAGUAUUAGAAAUAAAUUGCUUUUUUUACAUCGAUUACGGCAAAGCUACUUUGGGGACAGAAGUAACAAUCAGGAAGAAAGAGGAAUCGUAUAAAAAGGAACACAAAUAGCUUUCGGAAGUCUCGAGAAAUCCAAGGAAAUGAUAUCGAGAAAUGAUAUCAAAUUCCAAUAAUUAUCCAGAUAAUACUACCUUCUGCAAGAUUAUAUUCUCCUAGUACAAAAUGGAAGAUUUUGACGAAAAAUUUCUUCGAAAAUCCGAAAGUUUCAACUUGAAAAAAUUCCUGAAGUAUGACGUCAAGUUGCAAGAAUUAUCGAAAUCGUUCCAUCUUCUAUAUUAUUAUGUUUUCUUAAUACAAAAUUGCAAAAUCGACUGACAAAUUUUCCGAGAAGCCACAAAUUUCAGUUUCGAUGUAGAAUAAGUUACUUCUGUAAAGGGUUCUAUCAAAAAGGAGAUAAAUGAAUUUUAUUAAAAUAAAUACAUACUUUGUAUAGGGAACGAAAGGUUUAACAAAAAACAGAGUGACUAUAUAAUAUAUGUAAAUAAAAUUAUAAAUAAGAAUAUAAAUAAAAACAUUGUUAUGAUUGCUGCUUGCGAUCUAAAUCGCUGCAGCUUUGUUGGCGCUUGCACGUGUGUACCGACGAAGAACUAAUUAGUUCGAAGGACCACCCUCGUUCGGGCAAAAGGAAAACAUUGUAUGUGGUUGACUAUUUAAAUAGAACUAUUUACGGAAUACUGGGAGCUGCUCAGUAAUCGUGCCUAAUGUUGCGCGUUCUAACGACGAAAAGCCGGGAAAAAUGGCUUUUGACUUCUCCAUUUUACAGCCAAUUUCAAGGAGGGGUAAGAAUCGGGCACAAGCAAUAUCGUAUUUAAUGGACAUCGUUUUGGCAACCUUGGAGAAUUUCCACGAUUUCGUUAGUUUAUGGUCACCGAGGACUGUUACGGCUAGGUAUACGUAUACAAUGGGAAAAAACCGUUAAUUGUGAGGCCUAAGUUGCUGUAAACGCACAUGAAUAGCAGUUACUCGGAGACCCGAUGGCCAACUGUCGGUAAUUGGUAACACAGGAGUUUGUAACAAAGAAAUCUUAACGGUAACCUUGCCGACUCAAACAUAAAUUAUAAAUCUUUUAAGAAGUUUAAUGUCAAAGUAUCGAGAUCAAAUAAGCAGGUAAAAUUUUUAUAUAGGAUAGACAGGAUAACAUCAAUAGACAUUCACUUUUCAAGGGGGAUAGAAACUUAAACACUUAUAAAAUUGAACAUAUUUGUUGCCGUAAAUAUUUAUUGUAAAAAAUAUAGCAGUUUCGCAGGAAGAAUAAAGAUAGUACAAUUAAAAUGAUGCAAA